GGGGAUAACAGCCACGGGAGAGGGCUCAACGGGGGCAACGGCAGCACCACCGUCGGGAAGGGGGAAGUCAAUCCAUGCGGGUCCGACAGCAACGGGCUCUGGGCUCUCAAUGAUGGCGGGUCCGAUGGCGACGGGCUCAGGGGCGUCAACCCAAGCAGGUCCGAUGGCAACGGGUUCGGGGUUCUCAAUGAUAGCGGGUCCUACAGCUACAGAUUCAGGUUUCACGGCAGCGAUGAUUCCGGCGAUGUGAUCUAAAAUUGCUGACGGGCGGCGGCGGUCCACGGGGGUGGCCGAAGCCACAGCGGCGACAAGAACGAUGGCUGCGAAGAAUUUCAUCUUUGGAGAU